CGUUGGGAAAUAACAAUGAAUAAUAGAGUAACACGCUGCAGGCAGAAGGCGGGGCGUGAAAGAGCCAGAGUUCUGAAUGAGGUCACUGGUGUCCCAGGAACCCUCCCCUUUGGCUCUGUUUCUAUCCAUCUGCUCUUGUUUUGGAAACUGUUCUUGGAAGAAGGCCGGGAAGCUCUGCGAAGGAGUCACAGACAAGCCGUCCUAGAGGGGCUGCCACCUUGACCUGGGCAACACUACCCUUUCUCCUGGGAGAGGGGUCAGUGGACCCAUUGACGGUCUUACACUUUGUAUACAUAUUUUUUAAUUUCUAAAAUUAUAUCGAGUCACUUUCUUUGACUGAACAUGAGUUAUUUCCUCGGGAAUGGACAGCAUGGGCGUUUUAGAAGGCUGAACUGUAUCACCAAAGUACUCUCCAGAAAGAUUCUACAUAUAAGUGAAAUCAUCUGGUAUUUGCC